GCUGGAUAGCUCAGUUGGUUAGAGCGUGCUGCUAACGCCAAGGUCACAGGUUCGAUUCCCAUAAAGAACAGCUGCA